UACGAAGGGGGCUAGCGUUGUUCGGAAUUACUGGGCGUAAAGCGCGCGUAGGCGGACUAUUAAGUCAGGGGUGAAAUCCCGGGGCUCAACCCCGGAACUGCCUUUGAUACUGGGUGUCUUGAGUAUGGAAGAGGUGAGUGGAAUUCCGAGUGUAGAGGUGAAAUUCGUAGAUAUUCGGAGGAACACCAGUGGCGAAGGCGGCUCACUGGUCCAUUACUGACGCUGAGGUGCGAAAGCGUGGGGAGCAAACAGG
rnacentral:rRNA from 1 species